CGGAGGGUGCGAGCGUUGUCCGGAAUCAUUGGGCGUAAAGGGCGCGUAGGUGGCCUGCUAAGCGUGCGGUGAAAGCCUGGGGCUCAACCCCGGGUCGGCCGUGCGAACUGGUGGGCUUGAGCACUGUAGAGGCAGGCGGAAUUCCGGGUGUAGCGGUGGAAUGCGUAGAGAUCCGGAAGAACACCGGUGGCGAAGGCGGCCUGCUGGGCAGUAGCUGACACUGAGGCGCGACAGCGUGGGGAGCAAACAGGAUUAGAUACCCUGGUAGUCCACGCCGUAAACGAUGGGCACUAGGCGCUUGGGGGAGCGACCCCCCGAGGGCCGGCGCUAACGCAUUAAGUGCCCCGCCUGGGGAGUACGGCCGCAAGGCUG
rnacentral:rRNA from 1 species